rnacentral:rRNA from 1 species
UUAGAUACCCUAUUAUACUAACAAAGCUUUAGAUUAUUAAUAGAUAUAUACUUUAAAUUUGAAGAAUUUGGCGGUGAUUUAGUCUUGUUAGAGGAACCUGUUUUUGAAUCGAUACACCACGUUAAAUUUUACUUGUUUUAUUUAGUUUGUAUACCGUCAUUAACAGAUAAUUUUGAAAAAAUAAAUUAUUAAAAUUUAUAGAACAUAAAUUAAAUUAGAUCAAGGUGCAGCUUAUAAAUAAGCUAAAAUGGGUUACAAUAUACUUUAUUUAUUAUGGAAUAACAAAAAGAAAUUAAGUUAUGAAGGUGGAUUUAAUUGUAAUUAAAGUUUAGUAAACUGAAAAGGUAUAAGCUCUAAGUCAUGUACAUAUCGCCCGUCGCUA